ensembl:snRNA LOC120102701 U1 spliceosomal RNA
AAUCUUACAUAGCAGGAGAAAUAUCAUAUCCAGUAAGGUAGUUUUACAAGGGCAAGGCUUAUCCAAUGAAUGCUAGAUGUGCUGACCCCUGCAAUUACUUCAAAUGAUAGAAACUUGAUUGCAUAAUUUGUGGUAAUGGGGUGUUGUAUUCCUAAUCUGCUCUG